UGAGGCCACUGCUCAACAGACCAAUAAGGACUUUUCAUUCGUUCAUAGAGUUUCAGGCUCUUAGCUCACGAAACUACAAAAUCAACUAAAUCUUUGGGAAGUGCACCGGCCACUGUCUGGUUGAGGGGAGUGGAGUGGUGUGCAGUGGUCUACUGGAGGAUUUCAUUAUGAAGGCACCGCUGGUUCUGCAAUUGUAUCCAUCUGGAAUACAGGAGAUGAAAUUGAGCAGUGAAGUUCCUCAGUGGCCCACUCACACAUGCACAGUCGGGAAGAAGGCGCAACCUCGAUAUACGGUGGAGUGAAAGGAAGGCCCGGACUCCAGCCACCCAAUCCAUAGGCUGUUCUUGCACGGCAAGCGCUACCAGUGCAACAAGUCUGACACCAACAGGUUUCUAAACAACUUCUAUCCUCAACCCAUAAGACCGCUAAAUAGCUAACACAAUUGCAGACUCAGUUUACCCUUGUACCCUUUUAAUCUCUAUGCACACUCACGUGACUCUACACGCUCACGCACACUGACACUCCAACACACAUAACAUGCACACACAUAUACUGACUCUAUACACUCACACACACUGACAUACAAUCAGAAUGUAUGCUGCUGCUCCUCUGUUUGCCAUUUAUCCUGAUGCCUAGUCACCUUACCCCUAUACCGACUGUCCCUCCAGUAUCCCUGCACAUUGUAAAUAUGGUAUUGGAACUGACCUGGUAUAAAAGCUUCUUACUUUC